rnacentral:tRNA from 1 species
AUAAAGGUUAUAAUCCUUUUCUUUUUA